rnacentral:rRNA from 1 species
CGGCCACAUUGGGACUGAGACACGGCCCAGACUCCUACGGGAGGCAGCAGUGGGGGAUAUUGGACAAUGGGGGCAACCCUGAUCCAGCGACGCCGCGUGAGGGAAGAAGGUUUUCGGAUUGUAAACCUCUGUUGACGGAGAAAAAAAUGAUGGUAUCCGUUUAGAAAGCCACGGCUAACUACGUGCCAGCAGCCGCGGUAAUACGUAGGUGGCAAGCGUUGUCCGGAAUUACUGGGUGUAAAGGGAGUGUAGGCGGGAUAUCAAGUCAGAAGUGAAAAUUACGGGCUCAACUCGUAACCUGCUUUUGAAACUGACAUUCUUGAGUGAAGUAGAGGCAAGCGGAAUUCCUAGUGUAGCGGUGAAAUGCGUAGAUAUUAGGAGGAACACCAGUGGCGAAGGCGGCUUGCUGGGCUUUUACUGACGCUGAGGCUCGAAAGCGUGGGGAGCAAACAGGAUUAGAUACCCUGGUAGUCCACGCCGUAAACGAUGAUUACUAGGUGUGGGGGGAUUGACCCCUUCCGUGCCGGAGUAAACACAAUAAGUAAUCCACCUGGGGAGUACGACCGCAAGGUUGAAACUCAAAGGAAUUGACGGGGGCCCGCACAAGCAGUGGAGUAUGUGGUUUAAUUCGACGCAACGCGAAGAACCUUACCAAGUCUUGACAUCCCUUGACGAACAUAGAAAUAUGUUUUCUCUUCGGAGCAAGGAGACAGGUGGUGCAUGGUUGUCGUCAGCUCGUGUCGUGAGAUGUUGGGUUAAGUCCCGCAACGAGCGCAACCCUUAUCAUUAGUUGCUACGCAAGAGCACUCUAAUGAGACUGCCGUUGACAAAACGGAGGAAGGUGGGGAUGACGUCAAAUCAUCAUGCCCUUUAUGACCUGGGCUACACACGUACUACAAUGGCGUUUAACAAAGAGAAGCAAAGCCGCGAGGCAGAGCAAAUCUCCAAAAAACGUCUCAGUUCGGAUUGUAGGCUGCAACUCGCCUACAUGAAGUCGGAAUUGCUAGUAAUCGUAGGUCAGCAUACUACGGUGAAUACGUUCCCGGGCCUUGUACACACCGCCCGUCAAACCAUGAGAGUUGGCAACACCCGAAGUCGGUAGUCUAACCGCAAGGAGGACGCCGCCGAAGGUGGGGUUGAUGAUUAGGGUUAAGUCGUAACAAGGUAGCCGUAUCGGAAGGUGCGGCUG